rnacentral:tRNA from 1 species
GCACCGAUAGCUCAAUUGGAUAGAGCAACGGCCUACGAAGCCGUAGGUUGGUGGUUCGAGCCCACUUCGGUGUA